ensembl:lncRNA
AUGUGAGAUGCCAGAAGACAGCAAGAGCAUCAUCAGAGUGAAGCAAGACAGCAGCUGAGCUUAGAGAGUGGAGCAGUUUUUAAAGGCAGCCUGGGAAAAUGCAGAAGAGAGGCCAAUCUGACUUGCGGAAUCUUGCGUGAAUUUAUCAAGCUCGUAAUGCCCAGACAGACGCAUCUCGUAGAAUGAAGCUUCCAUGCUCCAAGACUAGGAAUGUCUCUGAAAUAUGAUGGAGGGGGAAAAAAAACACCUUCCAGCUUCUGAGAGAAGAACCUGACUCCAGUGGGCCCUGGCUCCAAACACAAACUGACUCCAUUAUGAAGAAAUCCGUGAUUUUUUAUCUGGGAACAUGGAUGGAGCAGGCGCUCUCUGCUCCGCGGCACAAAGGGUGAGUCUGCCUCUCAGGUGGGUUUGCCCCGAUACCGCCUGUAGAUGCUUGCCUGCCGCGGCUUCCUGC